UACGUAGGGUGCAAGCGUUGUCCGGAAUUAUUGGGCGUAAAGAGCUCGUAGGCGGUUUGUCGCGUCGAAUGUGAAAACCCGGGGCUCAACUCCGGGCCUGCAGUCGAUACGGGCAAACUGGAGUGUUGCAGGGGAGACUGGAAUUCCUGGUGUAGCGGUGAAAUGCGCAGAUAUCAGGAGGAACACCGGUGGCGAAGGCGGGUCUCUGGGCAACAACUGACGCUGAGGAGCGAAAGCGUGGGGAGCGAACAGG
rnacentral:rRNA from 1 species